AUGUGCUUUUGUAAAACUAAUAACGAAAAUACAAUGAAAGUUCAAGAGGACAAGAAGCCGGGAGAAGUAGACGUGCGCUUUCCAAGUACUCCAGCUUUAGGACAUCGUCGUGUCCGGCGGCGGCGGCCACAUGGAGCGCGUCGGGCGUGUGUGGCGCUGUUGCCGAGGAGGAGUUCGGCGAUGAGGAACCCGCCGGAUGCCGGUACUUCUGGCCGGCGGCCUCACGCGCCCCUCCUGCUGGCCGCUGGCCCCGCACCGCUCCUUCUGGCCGCUCGUGGCUCCUCGGGUUCGUGUAUGGAGCAACGAAGGAACUCGUGCCUGCGUGAGUCACGAUCGACUGUGUCGUGGACUGGAGCGAAGACCAGACCAGGCUGGUGCGUUGCAUACAGCCCCAACAAGGCCAAUAGCACGGGACAGGCGAUUUUCUUAGCCGGUUUUUCUUUCACACAAUGUUUUUUAGCGAAUCAAUUUUGUUAG
rnacentral:rRNA from 1 species